rnacentral:RNase_P_RNA from 3 species
CCAGUUGGCUGGGUAAUCGCGUUUUGAAAGAUUUUUUUUUUAAGAUGAGGAAAGUCCGGGCUCCAUGAAAACUCAACGUCGGAUAACGUCCGGCAAAGGUGACUUUAGGGAAAGUGCCACAGAAAAUAUACCGCCUUUAAAUUUAAAGGUAAGGGUGAAAUGGUGGGGUAAGAGCUCACCGCGUUUUUGGUAACAAAAAUGGCAGGGUAAACCCCGUUGGGAGCAAGACCAAAUAGGGAUAGCGCGGAGUAAUUUCCAGAUUUGUUUUCGAUCUAGCUGUCCGGGUAGGUCGCAUGAGGUGCUAUGUGAAUAGCAUACUAGAUGAAUGAUUACCAGUUUCUCGCAGAGAAAUAUACAGAACCCGGCUUAUAGGCCAACUGGUAUU